rnacentral:rRNA from 1 species
GACGUAGGAUGCAAGCGUUGUCCGGAAUUAUUGGGCGUAAAGAGCUCGUAGGCGGUUUGUCGCGUCUGCUGUGAAAACCUAAGGCUCAACCUUGGGCUUGCAGUGGGUACGGGCAGACUAGAGUGCGGUAGGGGUGACUGGAAUUCCUGGUGUAGCGGUGGAAUGCGCAGAUAUCAGGAGGAACACCGAUGGCGAAGGCAGGUCACUGGGCCGCAACUGACGCUGAGGAGCGAAAGCAUGGGGAGCGAACAGG